rnacentral:lncRNA from 1 species
UUAAAAAGAAAAAAAAAAUUGUUCUUGUGACAUCAAUUUUAAAAUGUCAGCUAGACUUUUAUUUAAAUGACAUAUGUUUUACAUAAUGCAGUUACGUAAUUGCCCAAUUUAGUACCUGAUUAUAGUUAAGUAUGCCUAAAUAGGAACAUAAAUGGUAUAUAUAGACAGAUAUAAACAUGUUUGGCAUCUCAAUACUAAAUAGGACCAACACGUAUCAGGUAAAUAAUUGAUUUGUUUUAUCCUUAUAUUUUUUUCUCAGUGUGAAAACCCUUUUUGUUGCAUUUCAAAUAUAUAUAAUUCACUUUUUUUGGUAAGUUAUGAUGAUGCUGUUCAAGUUCGGUUAUAUUGAUUAUGUUUCUUUAUCUUUGUUUAUCCUUUUUUUCGGUAGGUGGGGAAGUUUUUUUGGCCAAUACAUGGAUAAUUUCUAUUACCGUCUGUAUAUAAAAUAAUUUUUGCAAAAUGUAUCGAUUAUGAACUUAAAACGUUGGUUAGCAUGGAAUUUUAAUAAGCGUUUUUAUGUCUACACUUUUUUCUUAAAUUAUUUAAAAUGCAUUCAACUUUUAACAAAAAUCUUAUAGACUAAAAUGUCAAUUUGAUAUUCAUUUCUAAAUAAUUCUUUUCGAUAUUCAUUUUUGAAUCAUUCUUUUCUAUACUUAUUCCUAAAAAGUAUUUCGAUUUUCAUUACAGCAUAUUUUUUUUUCGAUAUAUACAUAUGAAAUGUUUUUCUAUGUUCGUUUUUAAAUUCACCAUUUUGAUUCCAAUAUAUCGCAAUUUUAUCAUCUGUUCACAUUUUUAAUAUCGAUAAAAGAAAAGGAAGUUAUAAUUGCAUUUUUCAAAUGUAAAAAUAAAACCGCAUCGUAGAUAUAAAUGCUUAUAAUUUAAAACGCCUGACGCGAGUUUAGUAAACAAAAAGCUCAUCACUGUCGCGAAUUUGUCUCCAGACGAUUCUCCAGUGACACUCGAAUAAAAGAAUAAAACGGCCAAACACAGGUUGAAGUAAAUGGUUAUUGUUUGAGUGAGAAUUUCAAAUACAAGAAUGGAAAAAGUGAAUUGCAAAUGACUAUCGAUACAUCAAUUAAUAACAAAAUAGCAUUUCCGAAGUACAUGAACAUGGUGAAUGUAUGAAUAAAGAUUGUCCUUGUCAGAAUCGAAUGAAGAAUGUCAAAAUAAGUAUAAACAAAAUAAUUUCAGAGUUUCAUUUUUAAAAUUAAAAUUAAAAUGGGGAAUUUAAUAUUAAGAAGAUGUGGUAUGAUUGACAAGACAAUCAUCCAUGUAAGACCACCUGCUGAAGUCUGGACGGGAAUUCAUUCUGCAUUAUUGAAAUAAUGUCAAAUUAAAAUCGAAAAAGAGAGAUGAAAAUCAAAAUGGCAUUUUGAAACAGAAAAUUAAAGUGGUAAAGGAGGGACGAAAGAUACCAAAGGGACAGUCAAACUCAUAAAUCUAAAACAAACUGACAACGCCAUGGCUAAAAUUGAAAAAGACAAACAAACAACAGCACAUAUGACAAAACAUAGAAAACUUAAGAAUAAACCACACGAACCCCACCAAAAAACUUGGGGUGAUCUCAGGUGCUCCGGAAGGGUAAGCCGAUCCUGUAAAUGUAUGAAUGUAGUUUUUCAAUAAAUCAAAAUUGCGAAUGUGAAAUGAAUAAGAAUGAAAAAUGAAUAUGAAAUUAAUGUCAAUAUGCAAAACAAAAUGGAAGACUAUCAAAAUAACCUUGCCCAUCACGUGCAUGUUCAAUGAUUAACACCGAGUAACUUUUAAAUUUGAUAAAAAAAAACUGCUUGAAAAAUUGUAUAGAUAGAAAGAUAAUAAAUAACAUAAUUGGUAUGAACUCAGAUCCAGAUAUACAUUUUUAAAACGAUCAAGUAAAUUGAUUAGAGAAACUAUUUCAGGAUACAAACAUGCUAGAAGAUACAUUUUUAAACAUGUAUUUUUGUUUUUUUCAUGGUUGAUAAUUAUCUAAAUCGAUAUAAUUUAUAUUUAUCAUAUACUCAUACAAAGUAAUAGGAUAAGUUUACCCCGUGAUAAAACUUAUUUGUACAUGUAUUUUUUCAGUAAAUUUGAAGAUUGCCAUAGUCAUGUGAUAUGACUUUUGUUAUCAACUGCUUCCGGUUUAUAUCAACUGCUUCUGUUUUAUAUUAACUGCUUCCGGUUAUUAUCGCAUGCUUUGCUGGAACGUUAACGAAUGACAUUUCCACGUCAUUCCGCAAAUUCCAGAAAAUAUACCUCACUGUUACGUUUCUCUGUGUAAAACAUAACAAAGUUGGAUACAAAUAAAAUAUAAGGAUUCAGAAAAUAUAUUAUUAUAUAUAUAUUAAAAAAUGCAAAACAAAUAAUACAACAAAAGCAUUUUUCAAAGUUUUAAAAAAAGUUUUUGUCUGUACGUCUUCUUUUUAAGAAAAUGAUAAAAAAAAGAACAUAACAUGUCAUUUUUCAUAUCAUACCCCUUAUCAGCCCAUGGUCAAAAUCAUCCCUCGAGCCUAUCGGCUGUUCUGCUGAUAUCAUGACCUAGGGCUGAUAGGGGGUCCUAUAUGAGAAAUGCCAUGUUAUAAUCUGUAUUUAUUAUAUAUGUAAUAAUAAUAUACAAUUAAUUACAUAAUACUACUCGUAAACUUUCUUAAAAAUCAAAAUAACCGUCGCUUCUCAUGUAUCACAAAGGUGCAACAAAUGUAUCGAUUAUAUCAAAUGCUAUUGGAAAGAAAACCUUAAAAAAUCAUUUUUUUUCAAUAUAACUAUUUGAUAAUCAUCUUACACAUACCCUAAUUGUAUGUUGAUAAUCAUUUAACUCAUACCCUAUCUGUAUGUUGAUAAUCAUCUUACUCAUAUCACAAUUGUAUGUUGAUAAUCAUCUUACUCAUACCCUAAUUGUAUGUUGAUAAUCAUUUUACUCAUACCAUCAUGGUAUGUUGAUAUUCAUCUUACUCAUACCAUAAUGGUGUGUUGAUAAUAAUCUUACUCAUACCCUAGUUGUAUGUUGAUAAUCAUCUUAUUCAUACCUUAAUUGUAUGUUGAUAAUCAUCUUACUCAUACACUAAUUGUAUGUUGAUAAUCAUCUUACUCAUACCCUAAUUGUAUGUUGAUUAUCAUCUUACUCAUACCCUAAUUGUAUGUUGAUUAUCAUCUUACUCAUACCAUCAUGGUAUGUGGAUAAUCACUAAUUGUAUGUUGAUAAUCAUCUUACUCAUACCAUAAUUGUAUGUUGAGGUAUACGGACUAUUAACAACAACAAAUGUGCAACUGAUGUAUCUAUAAUAUUCAAUAAUCUGAGGGGCGAAUCAAGCAAUUUUCAAACGGGGAAAGUUCCAGCCAUAUGUCCCCAUACAAAUGCAUUGAUCGUCAAAAAAGUGGGUUCCAACCCCUGGCACCCCUGGUUCCGCUACUGGAGCUCUUAAAAAAAUUACAUUAAAUAUUAUUUUUAGAAAUGAAAAAAUAAAUAAAAACAUUAUAACAUUUUAAUUUUGACCACGAAAUAGGACACUGCUUGUGUCCGGUGAUUAGAUAAAAGUUUUUUUUAGAAAUAGAAAUAAAUAUAAAAGCAUUAUAACAUUUUAUAACGAAAUAGGAAACAGCUUGUGUUCGGUGAUAAGUUUGAUAUUGACCUGUUAUGUUGCACGCUGAUAACUUACCAUUAUUUCCGUUUACGGACGAAAGACGUGUAUGUAAAAAUGACUUAUAAUACUGCUGUAGUUAUGCAAUUCUUGUGGUAACAAUUACUUCUAACCAGCCAGCUUGUUUCGUAAAUCUUUUCUCGUACAUACACUUUAGGUGUGACAUCAAUAAUUUGUUUUUCUUAAAACGAUACUAAAACUAAAACUGAAUAUUAAAUUGAAUAUUAUUUUGAAUGCGUUUCAUUAUCGGAAAUCAAAUCAAAUAUUAAUAGCCAAUACUAAAACUCAAAUAAAAAUGGAAUGUGUUUGUUGUUUGUUGCUCGUCCUUGGCAAAUGUCAAAAUGAUCGAAAUAUGAUUUAAUAAAAAUAAUGGGGGUCGCCAUUUUCGUUUUCUUGUAAUUUUUUAAGGAAAACGUCAGUGUCAGGUAGAAAUUUCCAUAGAUACAUGUAUAUAAGGAAAAUGCCUUUUUUUCCUUAUGAUCUUUUUAUUUUUUUCAGCAAAUGACGAUGAUCUUUUAUACGAAGAAAAAAAAAAUAACAUAAUGUCCAAAAAUGCAUACUGAUUUCAUACCGAAUAGAAAUUUAUAUGUCACCUCCUUGAUUUUCAGAUAAAUGGCUUUAAACCUUUUAUAGCUGACAAUUAACAUAAGAUACCAUUUUUAUGCACUAGAUGCGCAUGUCGACUAUAAAUGUUUCUGCAAUGAUACUUGAGGCCGUAAAUCCAAUACUGUGGAUUCAUUAUUAUUCGUUGCAUACCAAUUUUCGUGGUUUUCGUGGGUACAUGUGAACCACGAAUUAAAAUGUUCACGAAUUACACUUUUUUUAUAUGAUGUGUAUGCAGAGAUUAGUAAAACCACGAAAUUCGAUAACAACGAAAAUAAAGUUUUCCUCAAUCCACGAAAAUUGAUACCCACGAAAAUAAAUGAAUCGAAAGUAUCUCCUUUAAAGUAAAUUUCAAAAUAAUAAAAAUCAAAUUUGAACUGUUUUUUCACUGUCAUUCACAUAUAGGUAAUAAUAAAACAAAAGUAUGGUAAAGAAAUAGAUCAAUUAUCGAACGCAAAUAACAAAAAAAUAAAUCUUAAGGUUAAAAAGUUUUAAUUACUCAUCCUUGGCAAAGGUCAAAAUGAUCGAAGUAUGAUUUAAUAAAAAUAAUGGGGGUCACCAUUUUCGUUUUCUUGUAUUUUUUCUUAAUGAAAACGUUUUAUUUUUUUUUUUUAGCAAAUGGCGAUGAUCUUUUAUACGAAGAAAAAAAUAAAAAAAAAUAACAUAAUGUCCAAAAAUGCAUACUGAUUCCAUACCGUAUAGAAACUUAUAUGUCACCACCUUGUUUUUUCAAAUAAAUGGCUUUAAACCUUUUAUAGCUGAGUAUGCGGUAUUGGCUUUGUUCAUUGUUGAAGGCAGUACGAUGACAUAUAGUUGUUACUUUCUUUGUCAUUUUGGUCUCUUGUGGAGAGUUGUCUCAUUGACAGUCAUACCACAUCUUUUUUUUUUUCUAUAAUUAAAGUUGAUCGAUACGAUUAUAAUUUUAAGGAAAAUAUGUGACGAUACUGAAUACAGAAUAUAUAGAUAUCAUUUUUACUCAGAGGUUCUUAGUAUUGAUAAAUUAUAAGUCUGAAUCUGAAUGGUGUUUAUCUUAUUUUAAUUACCUCUGUCGGUUGUUUCAAUUUCCUAGUAAUUCAAUACAAAAUUUUAUUGAUAUAAUGUGUUUGUUCCUGCACAUGGAAAUGUCAUUCACAUGAAUUAAACUUCUCAAAAAUCUCGCAAAUAUUUCAUGUAUGUUCGGUACGAUACAAUUCAAUUUUUAAAACCGUUGUAUAUAAAAGACACAUUUGAUGCACUUGUACCGUUAGUUGUGAAAAUUAUAAAAGAAUAAAGGUUCUGAUAAAAUACUCAUUCAAAAAGAUCUUUCAAAAUAAAUUUCCGAACUGCAAGGAUAUACAAAUCAGAAAGUCCCAUAUCAAAUGAUGAAAUUGUUUUCUAAUUUAAAGAUGUGCAACAUUUGAUUCAAUUGAAUCAUAUGAAAAUGUAAAAAAAACUUAAAUAAUCAGACUUUUAUAUUUAUAUAACUUCAGUAAUAAUGAAAUGUAUUAAAUCAUAAUUACACAUACCACCAUAUGUAUAUAAUUAUUUACCAAUAUAGAUACAAUUGUGAUAUGUGGUAAUUUCAAUUUUUCAAUUAAUAGGAAUAAAAUGUAUCAUGGAUGUUUUAUAGUCUAUUCUCAACAAGAAAUAUGCAACAGAUAUAUCAAUAUUCAUGAGAACAUCAUAUGAAAAUAUUCAUAAAACUUUAAAUAACAGACUAUUUCAGAAAUAAAAAUAGAAAUAAAAACAAGAAGAAAUGUAGCCGUUAAUGACGAAAAAGGAAACAGCUUGCGUCCGGUGAUAAUUUUGACAAUGCACAAAUAUGUUGACUUGUUAUAUUGUUCGCUAAUAGAUUACUUAUAGUUCCGUUCAUGGGCGGAAAAGGAGUAUGUAAACCUUACUUAUAAAACUGCUGUUUUGGUGCAAUUAUUACAAACCAACCACCUUUACUUUUUUGGUAAGUCUUUUUGACCUACAUGAAGUUUUAGUGUGACAUUACUUUUAACGUUACUAUAAUAACCAUUGAAUGAGAAAUUGAAAAUUAUUUGAAUAUCAUUAAUUUCAUUUUAAUUGUAAUAAAAAUAUGAUGACACUGAAACUUCUUGAUUAUCUGCAGGAAAUGAAAGACCAAGUAUUGUAAAUAAAGGCAACAAUAGUGUACGUUAUUCUUCAGACGUGCACUUGAUUUUUAUGUGUAUACAUUAUCGCAAAUCAUAUCCUUCGCUGGAUUUUCUUAUCACAAGAAUGAAUUACCUUAGCCGUAUUUGGCACAACUUUUUGGAAUAUUGGGUCCUCAUUUCUCUUCAACUUUGUACUUGUUUGAGUCUAAACUAUUGUGAUCUAAGCGUCACUGCUGAGUCUUAUGUAGACGAAACACGCGUCUUGUGUACUAAAUUAUAAUCCUGGUACCUUUAAUAACUAUUUGUGAGUGUGUCCAGAUUGUCCAAUUUCGAUUAUAUUGAUGAUGUUUCUUUAUCUUUGUUUUAUCCUUUUAUCGUAGGACUAUGUAGGAUGGGGAGGUUUUGGUCGUCUAAUAAACAUUUUUAACUGUCCAAUGCAUUUGUAAUUUGAUCGUUUGUAUAUACAUUAAUUUUAUAUAGUGAAAAGUUUUAUUUUUAAAUUCAUUAAUUUUUCGUCUCAUUCUAAUUGUCAAAGUAAAAUUAAAAUAAACUAUAUUAAGAUAAUAUGUGGAAAUAAUAUAAACCAUAAACUGUUUAAAACAUUAGAAUGGAUAGAAUUGUUAAUAAGCCUUUUUAAUAACAUAAAAUGCAUUCACAUAUCUUCAACAAAAUGUUUAUAAUCUUUUCCUCCCUAAUUUAUUUGAUUGAAGAUCAUUUCCAUGAUUUUUGUUUACCUUUUAUAAUAAAUCCACUAAGAGUAACAGAGUAUUCCUGAAAAUAAUUUCGUAUCUUAGGAUUUCAUAUCAGUUCAUAUCAAUUUACAUUAUUCAAUACUGGAAGCUACUAUUUUUUACAGAUUUUCAUUCUCGAUAUUAACAAAAUGAGAACCAUGAUGAUGUAUUCAGGUUUUCUGUUGAUCUGUAUAUUCGCAUUGUCAGAGCAGUGUCAUUGUCCGGGCUAUUAUACACAGGAAAUUGUUUGUGACAGAACAAUAGG